rnacentral:lncRNA from 1 species
CACUUUCAUCUCAAACAUUUGAUAAGUUUUUCAUUUUUUUAUGCAUGUAAUGUAGUUUCUUAAUAGAUUCUAGUUAAGCUACAUUAAGUUACAUCCAAUAAAAAUUAGUUAAGCUACAUUAGGCUACAUCCUCGGUUUGCAUCUGUCACAUUUGGUUGUAGCGUGCGUGAUGAAGUUUGUCAUUGAUACGAGAAAAUUCAGAUUUCAAAAUUCG